rnacentral:sRNA from 1 species
GCCAGGCAUUGUGGCAGGCACCUGUAGUCCCAGCUACUUGGGAGGCAGAAGCAGGAGACUUGCUUGAGCCCAGGAGUUGGAGGUUGCUGUGAGCUGUGAUGCCACAGCACCCUACCCAGGGCGACAACUUGAGGCUCUGUCUCAAAAAAAAAAAAAAAAAAAAAAUAGAUAAUUUUUUAAAAGAUUUUUUUUUUUUUAGAUAGAGUCUCAAGCUGUCGCCCUGGGUAGAGUGACAUGGCAUCAUAGCUCAUAGCAACUUCCAACUCUUGGGCUCAAGC